GAGGGAAGGGCUGCCGGUGUGGGCAGGGGCUGGGAGCCGUGAGGGGCGUCUGGGGAGCCGCCAGGAGAGCGCGCUCCUCAGGGAGGCAGGAGGUGGUGGUGCUUCUAAUUAACGCCCCUGUGGUCCUGGGUUGCACUGAGAGAAACUGCUGUUGCGGCUCCCUUUACCUCAGGAGGAAGCACACUGUAGUUAACGCGGUUACAGCACUGUUUUGGCUACCCUCCUGUAGAGAUGGGGAAACUGAGAUGGAAGAAAAGUGAUUGCUUAACCUCAGCUAAUAGAAGAACAAGAAACUCUGGAUCACAGGUGAAUGAAGACAAUGAGCCCAGCUGCUCCAAACAGCAAGAUGAAGGAGAACAUACAUGUCAGCCUCAUAAUUAUUGUUCUCAGAUCAAUCCAGUUUUGACCCAGGAAAAGAACUGCACACAAUCUCCAGGGCGCUCUUCAGUCAUAGUUUCAUCCUCUCAUCUGAAGUCUGGCAUAAUAUUGCCUACAAAAGGUUUCCUGGCUACUCUGAAUAAAAACAACUUCUCCCAGAAGAUCUGGAGCAACUGGAGUGAGCUGUACUUCCAGAGAUCCCAUCAGCUCUUCCCAGAUCGUCAUUCACAUGGAAACUGGGAAGACACUUGGACCACAGAAGAGGUAUUUUGAUAAGUAUUUUCAAAACCAGGAAGGUCUCUCUGAACCUGGUGCCCUUUUAAGUCUUUCCAACCAAAGGAGACAUGCACACAGGUGUCUGGGGACGUGCGAGCUGCUGGUUCCUCAUGGGGUGUGAUUGCAUCCCCCUCCUCCCAACCACCCGGUGCAGAGGCUGAGAGAUGCACAAGACACAUCCAUCCCCAGCUCCGUGGCCCCGUGGCCCCUUCUCCCAGCAGUACCAAAAAAAAAAAAAAAACAAACAAAAAAAAACACACAACAAAGUAAGAGCAAGUUGGACUCUUCCAGUGUUGUGGUUCAUCAAACAGCCCCAGGAGCCCCCAGCCCCUCCUGGCUGAGUGGCAGUGCGGGGGUGUAGAGGGUAGCAAGGCACAGCCAGGGCAUGGCACAGAAAUGCACCUGCACUUGGUGGGGCUGCAGCUGGGUUCCCACCACCCCAUCUCCUGCCACGCCAGGAAGGGUUCCUGGAAGCAUAAGCUCCUGGGCAGAAAGAGAGAAGUGUCCAGACCGUCCUGUGCCACAAUGUAUGAUCAGGAGCUACUGAGCACCUCGGCACAGGUACAGCUCUCACCUCCUGUCGGUUCAGCACAAGGCUGUCUGGUAAAGGACCGCAGGUCUCCAUUUACACAGGGGAGCAGAGACCAGCAUGGUGGUCGCUGUACAAGCAGCUGGGACACCCACAUGGGAUCCACAGUGCUUCCCUAUCUGUAUGCUACUGCGCUCCACAAUUUCAGGCACUCCAAAUUUCAGAGUCAGAGAAAACUUGUGGAUUUUAGAGCAACUACUCAGCCUUUUAAACAGAAGAGGAUUUUCAAUAGUGAGCUGUAAUGAGAAUCCUGAGUAGGCAUGAACUCUCUUUAAAAUCAGUUCUGUGAUGGUAGUAGAGUGAGAGAAUAUUACUGUUUGGUUUGCUGUUAUUCAAUUAUUUUUAAGCACCUUUUGUCAGAUUUGUAAUAAGAACAGAUAAGGCAAACUAGCUGCUAGGCAUACUUUGGUGCUGUAAAUAUCGGAGAUCAUUAAAUGUCACUGGGAAAGUUCCCGUUGUUACAUUGAUACUCCAUAGGAAUGGAUAUCCUCUAUCGACUGGGUGCAUUUCACAUCAGACGCGGUUUGUAACUUCAUCUGCAUUCAGCGAGGGGAAGGUAAACAGAGCCUCAAAACUCCUCUCCCUUCCUCCGCCUUCUUGCUAUAAUACAGAGAGGCAUAAUGAUGCCUGCUCUAGACAAUGGAACUAUUUGUCAAAAGUAGUUGUCACACCAAGGAAAAAAAUGUCUUCUGGUAUUCCCCUCCACAGUGCCAAUGCUCUGGCUGUGCGAUUGAGAUCCUAACCAGUGUGUUAGGGCUGGUGAAUGAGGCUCAGCUAACUAAACAGGAAAAAUAAUAUAAAAUGGGGUUCUUUGCCCGUCUGGUGUGUUUGCCCUGUACCAGGCAGGGUUACUGUAGUGCCAAGGCCAGCAUUGGCAUCUCUUGUUCCUGUGCAUGCUGCAUCUCCUCUGGGUUGACACCAACCACAAGUUCUGGCUGGGGGCUGGGGCUGUUACUGCAGGCAGCAAUAUCUGCUUUCAUUACUGAAAUGGAGGGAUUUGCAUCCAAAGAACCUGACUGAUGCUCAAAGAAAUGGAUGUUAGUUUUCUGAUGCCAUUAACAUUUAAUGGUUCUGUUAGAGGUACCAGAAGAAUUAGGUUUUAACUGUAGAUCUUGUGGUAAUGUCAAAAAGUAAAGGAAGGCUGAGACUACAUCAGUGCAGGGAUCGCUGGCCUGACUAAGGCUCUGUAAGACUAAUUUCAGAGAGAUUCUGCACACACCACAGCAUCAGUCUUUGUCCUGACACCCGUAAUCCACAACUAAGUAAUUCUUGUUUUCUUGCUGGUUUGUUUUUACAGUUCCCAUUAAUGUAAUGUUUCUGUGCCUCACAGUCUUCAUUCAAUGUUUCCUCUUCAGCACUUGUCUGAAGGAAAGAAGUAAUUGCAUUGAUUUUUAUUUUAUUGUUUUACAUAAGGAUGCAUUUUUGCACAGAGAGGAGUUACAUGAUUUGCAUGAGAUCAUUUAGGCUGUUUCUUACAAAAGCGAUAGCUGAUGCUGGUUUUCUUAUGCCAUGG